UACGAAGGGGGCUAGCGUUGCUCGGAAUCACUGGGCGUAAAGGGCGCGUAGGCGGAUCUUUAAGUCGCGUGUGAAAGCCCCCGGCUCAACUGGGGAGGGUCACGCGAUACUGAUCGACUCGAAGGCAGGAGGAGGGUAGUGGAAUUCCCGGUGUAGUGGUGAAAUGCGUAGAUAUCGGGAGGAACACCAGUGGCGAAGGCGACUACCUGGCCUGUUCUUGACGCUGAGGCGCGAAAGCUAGGGGAGCAAAACGGGG
rnacentral:rRNA from 1 species